rnacentral:tRNA from 1 species
GGAUCCGUGGCGCAAUGGUAGUGCGUCUGACUCCAGAUUAGAAGGGUUGUGUGUUCGAUUCACGUCGGGUUCA